rnacentral:rRNA from 1 species
UACGGAGGGGGCUAGCGUUGUUCGGAAUUACUGGGCGUAAAGCGCACGUAGGCGGAUCGUUAAGUCGGGGGUGAAAUCCUGGAGCUCAACUCCAGAACUGCCUCCGAUACUGGCGAUCUCGAGUCCGGGAGAGGUGAGUGGAACUGCGAGUGUAGAGGUGAAAUUCGUAGAUAUUCGCAAGAACACCAGUGGCGAAGGCGGCUCACUGGCCCGGUACUGACGCUGAGGUGCGAAAGCGUGGGGAGCAAACAGG